UGAAGAGGCCAGCUCUGUGUUGGAAGACGACGCAGAGGCUCGGUUGGACUGACUGAAGAUGGCAGUGCCUUCCGAGCCGACGCUGUAUAAAGAGACGGAGCUGGAGGACUUGGAAACGGGCUGGGAGGCCGAGUGAUGGCCCGAUUCUGCAAAAUAAAAAGAAGACCGACACAAGGUCAGCCAUGGACACACUCUGCUUUAUGGGACAAGGACGGACAGCCCACUUCACCAUGUUCUGCACGACAUACUGCAGUACGGACCUCAGCUCGGCGCUCUCGUCCCAUUCCUCCCCACCACUACCGUCGCCUUCAUCCUGGUCAGAGCUGGGACUUGACAAGGUGGCAUUUGGCUUGGGCCCAGAAAUCAAAUCUGACAACUUCUCGCAGCUGAAAAUGACAGCGAGAGAUUUCAAGGCCCCGGUGAGAAGUAUCUUUGGCGGACCCCCUCCUAUCGUCUUCAACCUUCUUCCUGUCCUCUUCUGGUAAGCAGUUGAGAACAUCUACCUCUUCCAGGCAAUACUGCAUUUCGCCCUCCGCCAGGCUCUCCUGUGAAAAUUUCCCAGUCGCUAUUGCAUGAGCCCCGAGGCAGCCGCGCUCCUCCAGCAGCCCCAUCAGGUAAAUCAGAUCAAGCAGCACUGACGGUUUAAGGCCUCCCAGUCGCGCUACGUCACAGCAGGUCACGUUGCAGGGCUCCAGCGAGGCGAUGGGCGUGUCGCUGGGUGACCAAGAAUUCGCGGAGCUUAGUUAUGCAGGGAAGGGUUGGCGAGAAGCCACAGAGACAGCGAACGACACCAGGAUGGGUUAGUGGAUUUACAAAUGAAGGAGGAGAAGAAAAUUAGUAAGAUCAGGAAGAGGAAAAAGACAAAAAAUAAACAUAAUAGUCACAAGACAAGACAAGUUUGAUGGAAGUUGAUGAAUGCAAAGACAAUCAAAUACUAAAGACGGGCUUUAGAAAUCGAGAAAUAAUUUUGUUGAUCUGGACUUUUAUCUACUAAUGGUGUCUGGCUGAGACGUCUAAACCAAAAUAACUGUAAUCAUGUAAAUACUUCAUCAUAGAUAUUGUGGCUACAGUCCAGACUGGUGGAUAGUGCCUGUAGUGAGGUUGUAGCAAAAUUAGCUUGUAUUUUUUAUCUUUGUAAACAUAAAUCAGUUGACUGGAGUUUCUUUAUAUACUGCUUUGUCCCUUUUUGUAUCAAGAUGCUGUGCUCAGAACCUCAAGUUAAUUCCAUUCUUUUAUUUUUUUAGUUGCAAUUUUCACAUUUCUUCUAGUGCCCAUCCCUACUAAUUACUACUAAUUUAUUUGGGAUACCUAAUUGAGAGGUCGGCCUCCUCCCACUGCAGCUUAGCAAGAGAGCUCCUCUCUUUCAGGACUCCCAACAGAACAGCCCUGCGCCCGCUGGGCUUGUGCAGACACAAGCCUCCAGCCCGGAGACCGCCAUCCACACCUCCAAUCAACGCCAGAACAGGCCACACUUCAGUGCACAGAGCAGUUAGCUUGGACUCUGAUAAAAGGCUUAGAUGAGAGUCGUCUUCAGAUGGAUCUUUAUCACCGUCAUUUUGCUUAGAAGUCGAAUCGAGGCCUGGCGAUGCAUCUCCUCCUAUAAUCAAAACCUAAUCAUGAAACAACCUAUAAAUGACAAAGAGGUCCCAUUUAUCUUGUAACCGACCUGGGGCGAGGCCUCCCAAGUGGUCCUCCUUCAGCAUGGGACCGAUGAGCUCGAGGUUGGCGUGGAUGUACCGGUUGAUGUGCGGCGUCCAGUGGUCGCACUGGUGGAGCCGGCGCAGAAGCUGUACCGUGCACUCGAUGAGGGUGGUGCUUUGCGGGCUGCACAGCGGCUCGCCGGGAAGCAGGUUACUGGGCAUGCCUCGCAUUUGGAGGUCCCUCAGUGUCACCUGUUACGAAUGCAUUAGCCUGCUUUAUUUAUCAUUAAUCAGCUGGUCAAGUGGUGAAGGUCUCCAGCUUCCACCAUGGGGAUAUGUGUUCAAGUCAUUGGAUGACAGAAGAAUGUGAGAAAAAAAUUAUUCCAGGUUUGAAAGAUGUGGACUGACAGAAAUAUAAGGAUAAGGAUAGGAUACAAUUGACCAUCCACACCCAACAUGCCCCUGGACCCUCAGGUGUUGUGACCUUCAGCAAGACAACGAUAACCUGAACUGCUCCCCUGGUGCUAAAGUAGCCCUUGCUAAGUGUGUCACUAAAGUAUUUGCAGUGCCCACUACUGUUAUGGGUUAAUGCAGAGGACAAAUUUCAUGAAUAUUCAUUUAUUUAUGAAAAUAAAGCCCAUUCUUCUGCUUUGUGAUUGUGCAACGACUGACAUAUUGAACAUACAGAUCAAAAGGCAUACCGCCAACUGUUGUGACCACAAAGUAUUUAACUAUUUUUUUCUGUUUUUUGGGGGGCUGUAAUUUCAUCACAAUUAUUACUAUCCACAUCACAGACCACCAUUAAAAAAAAUUAUUGAUACACAUGCUAUAUUAACAAAAAUGUUUUUAAUCUUAAUAAUGAUUUCAGGUUUUUUUCCAGAAGAAAUUUAACUUUAAAAAAACAUUUAGAGACACGUUACACUGUCGGUGUCCCAACAAGAAAGCGUGUCUGUCCAAAUUUUGUGAUUUUUUUUUUUUUUUGAGGGGGGGUUGUAUUCUUUAAUCUGAACUCCAAAAAUCAUAUUUGUUGCUUUUUGUCUUUUUUUAAAUACUGCUGUAACCUCUGAGGCUCAAUAAAGA